ACAAGCGGUGGAGCAUGUGGUUUAAUUCGAAGCAACGCGAAGAACCUUACCAGGUCUUGACAUCCCGAUGCUAUUUCUAGAGAUAGAAAGUUACUUCGGUACAUCGGUGACAGGUGGUGCAUGGUUGUCGUCAGCUCGUGCCGUGAGGUGUUGGGUUAAGUCCCGCAACGAGCGCAACCCUCAUUGUUAGUUACUACCAUUCAGUUGAGGACUCUAAUGAGACUGCCAACGACAAGUUGGAGGAAGGUGGGGAUGACGUCAAAUCAUCAUGCCCUUUAUGACCUGGGCUACAAACGUACUACAAUGGCCAAUACAAAGAGAUGCGAAGCGGUGACGUGGAGCGAACCUCAGAAAGUUGGUCUCAGUUCAGAUUGAAGUCUGCAACUCGACUUCAUGAAGGCGGAAUCGCUAGUAAUCGCGGGUCGGCAGACCGCGGUGAAUACGUUCCCGGGUUUU
rnacentral:rRNA from 1 species